UCCCAUUGAACCCGGCUUGGGGUGGUCGGCUAAAGUACAGCAUGUCUUAAUCAGGACUUUGAAUUCAUGUGCAGAAAAGUUUAGGAGUGUGGAGAAGUUGUGCAUGUUGCAAAAUGUGCUCAGUGUGUAUGUGGAGUGUAUGUGUGUUAGUAAAGCAGAGGGAAAGAGUGAGCACAAGGAGAGAGGUGAAAAAGAAUUGGUGGAGUGGAAUAGUGAUGGGCACGGCAGUUCUUUUAGGUGUACUGUUUCACUAGAUUCAGUUCACUUAAAAGAUUUGGUUCUUUUUAACGAAUCGUUCGCAAACGACACAACACUAGAGUGGAAGUCUGUUCGUAUUUCUGUUCAUGCUUCCUCCAGCAGACUCUGUGGAUGUUUUGUAAAGCUGUUAUUGUACGUUUGGACAUGCUCCUACUGUGGUGUAAUCAGUCAGCGUAUCGAGGUGCAGUAAGGCCAUGUAGAUUACAUUCUAAUGUUGAUGAGCUCUGCAAACACAAGCAGCACAAAGAGGACUGUGAAAGGACCUUUUGCUUUUUAGCAUUUCACGCAUGAUGUAGAUUUUCUGCUCUUCAGGGUAGAGGCUGAACUGCUGAUAAGAGAAACUCCUCUGCAGGGCCUUUUUUCAUGAUUUCACACCAAGCGUUCUGGUUGGUUGUUUAGGAAUGUGUAGCUUAGACAUGUGGAAAAAUACCACCUUCAAUCAGACCCAGACAAAAUCAAACAGGUUCAGAUCAAACCUAUCAUCAGCUGCUGGACCUCGUCUCCGACGUUUGCUGUUAUUUUCUUUGAGCAGAGACAGUCUUCUCUGUUUUUUUUUUUUAAAGCGGCUUUAUCAUUUUGGAAGGUCAUCUUUCUCCACAAAGACCAAACUCAUUAAAUUCAUCAUGCAGACAGGAAGAGUUUCAGGCUUUGUUUAACGGACCCCAAGUCUGAUUGUCUGUCUGGAAAUUAGCAAUCAAGAUCUGAAGACAAAGUGAAUCUUUUCAGGCGAAAUAAAAGAGAGAAAUUACACAUUCAGGUCUUCGUCAUCCAGGUGCAGAAAUCUGAAAGCUGGGAGUGAGUAUUAGUUGUGUUUAUAAAAACCCUCCUCUGGUCUUCCUCCCUUGAGUUGCACACUUUUAUUAUCAAAACGGUCCAGGGAUGAUGGGAUUUCCAAUCUCUCCCAUGCAUCACGUUUUAUUGAAGCACCUGCUUGUAAUUGUUGGAAAGUGGACAGGUGUGAAAGAAAGUUGAGUCUUUUUUGUUCCUGUGUGAGCCUUACUUAGAAUUUAAUGAUGGGAAAAAUCUUUAGAGCAGAGCAACAGCUGUUCGACUGUAUGCCCAAGUCAGGUGUAAUAAAGACCGACAGAGGAGGGAGGCUUUUCGUUUCUUUAGAAGAAUCAGUUCAGAGAAUUUUUUUAUCAGACGGGUCCUUCAAAAGCUUUGAGUUAAAUUUAAAAACCAUAAUAGUAAAAAUACACAACAGCAAAAACUAUAUUUCUGUGUUCACCUUGACUACAUUCUGGUCUAAUGGUACCAGCCAAGAUCUGACUUUGCGAAGACCCAAUCAGGGUUCUUCAAAAUCCCCAUACUGGGUUUUCAAAACCCUUCCUCCAUUCAUUUUGUCACAUAAAAAACAGUUAAAACUACAUUUAGGUGUCCACGGUACCAUCCUACAGUACCAGCCAAGUCCCUGCUUUCUAAAAAUCCAAUUUGGGUCCUUCAAAAGCUUUUAAAUCUAACAGCUUUAUAAACCAUCCUUCAAUAAAUCGUGACACAUGAACAUUAAAUUUAACUAUAUUUUGGUGCUUAAGUAGACCAAGUUUGACCUUUUUAUAGUACCUACCAAGUCCCUGCUUUCCAAAGAUUCAAUUUGGGUCCUUCAAAAGCUUUGAGUUAAAUUUAAAAACCAUGACAGUAAAAAUACACAACAGCAAAAACUAUAAUUUGGUGUUCACCUUAGCUACAUUUUGGUCUUAUGGUACCAGCCAAGAUCCAGCUUUGCGAAGACCCAAUCAGGGUUCUUCAAAAUCUCCCAACUGGGUUUUUAAAACCCUUCCUCCAUUCAUUUUGUCACAUAAAAGACAAUUAAAACUACAUUUAGAUGUCCAUGGUACCAUCCUAUGGUACCUACCAAGUCCCUGCUUUCCAAAGAUUCAAUUUGGGUCCUUCAAAAGCUUUACAUUUCAAAGCUUUAUAAACCCUCCUUCAAUUUAUCGUGACACAUGAACAUUUAUAUUUAACUAUAUUUUGGUGCUUAAGUAGACCAAGUUUAACCCUUACAGUACCUACCAAGUCCCUGCUUUUCAAAGAUUCAAUUUGGGUCCUUCAAAAGCUUUGAGUUUAAUUUAAAAACCAUAACAGUAAAAAUACACAACAGCAAAAUCUAUAUAUUGGUGUUCACCUUAGCUACAUUUUGGUCUUAUGGUACCAGCCAAGAUCUGGCUUUGCAAAGACCCAAUUGGGAUUCUUCAAAAUCUCCAAAUUGGGUUUUCAAAACCCUUCCUCCAUUCAUUUUGUCACAUAAAAAAACAGUAAAAACUACAUUUAGGUGUCCAUUGUACCAUCUUAUGGUACGAGCCAAGUCCCUGCUUUCCAAAGAUUCAAUUUGGGUCCUUCAAAAGCUUUAAAUUUAAAAGCCUUAAAUUUAAAAGCUUUAUAAACCUCUCUCAAUAAACCGUGACACAUGGACGUUAAAUGUAACUAUAUUUUGGUGCUUAAGUAGACCAAGUUUGACCCUUACAGUGCCUACCAAGUCCCUAUUUUUCAAAGAUUCAAUUUGGGUCCUUCAAAAGCUUUAGAUUGGGCUUUAUAAACUAUCCUUCCACUUAUGAUACAUGAACUAUAGAUAGGACAAUAUUUUGGUCUUUAAGUAGAUCAAGUUUGACCCUUACAGUUCCUACCAAGUUCCUGCUUAGCAAAGGCCUGGUUCAGGUCUGGAUCAGAGCCUUUUGCCACAUUGUUAACAGGCAGAGGUGAAGUUUAUCACAACCCCUUUCAGACUGAUUUGAUAUGAUGUGAUCAGGUUGUGCACAGUUCUUAUGGGGUCAGUCGGAGCCGGGUGUUUAAGGUGAGACUGUCAUUUAUCGUUUCAACUUUGCGUUGACAGAAAAGCCAAAGAUCUCCUGAAAUAACUAAACUACGUUCUCUCUUUAUGUGGACAGGCGAGGCCGAUUCUGACUUUUAAAUACCCAUAAAAGUUUUGUAAGUCAUCUCAUCGAUCCUUUUCUGACCGCUGAAAAAUAGCACUCACCUCCUCUGCUGCCUCGACUCCUUCAUCUCUCCGACCAAAGCCCUCCAAGAGCACAAACAAACUCUCCUCUUUGCUGUCUUCCCUAUAAAUGUCCAUAUUGAUCAGAAACUCCUACUUACUACUUACAAAGCAACACAGGGCCUUGUGCGUCAGAGUGCUGCUGCUCUGAUUUAUUUACUACUUAUCAGCCCACCCAUACUCUGCACUCACAGGAUGCCUUGUCAUCCUCUCUUAUUUGAAAUUAAACAGCCAGGAGCAAAGCCUUGGCUCCUUUAUUUUUCACCCUAUCUAUCCUUAACGGACCCGCAGUCUAUCAUCUCGCUUGCAUGUGACCGCAUGGCUCUGAAGCUCAUAAACUGUGAAGCAAAGGAUGGCUGAUCUGAUGGUCACUGCAGCUGAGGCAGAAAGUAGCCGGUCAAUAAAGCCAGAGAGUGAGAUGCUUCUCUGAGAGAGUUACAGAAAGGUGUAGGGGUAACGGUAAAAACCAUACGUCUGAGCACAUUUCACCUGUCGCUCUGUCUGAGUGUGUUUGGGUGCGGUGUGAGGACUCUUCAGGCCCCUCUGGGGACAGAUAAGCACUUGUAAAAAAUGAGCUCCCAUUACUCAGAAUAUGAGUAAUUAUUGGUGUUAUGAUUUCUUCUUGCAAUCUGAAAUGUUGUUUACCCCCAGAUUUAUAUCGAUCCGUCUACGUGUGGACAAUUUAAGACAUAAGAUUCCACUUAACAAGAAUUGCCUCUCGCUUUAAUGUCAGUCUGUCCACAUAUGGGAACGAUGGGGACCAGUUUCUGGAGUUUUAAAAGUCAGACGUACAGACACCAGGACUCUCCUACAACUGAGCCAUGCUGUUGUAAAUGCAAGCAGAAUGAUUUCGUGUCCAUGCGGUGACUUCCACUACAGAGUUAUGCUUCUUUUUACUCAAAGGUGGGGUAGGCAGGAUCUGAGGAAGUUCCAGUUUUUGGGAGAAAUCGUGAAUGUAAACUCUAAACUCUACCCCUCCCAACCAGUUUUCCCCUCAGCUCCUCCUCUCUGCUCCAGCAAACCCCGCCCACAAACAGACGCUCCUGCUCGCUCGUAUCGUUUUAAUUAAAUUCAGAUUUAAUGCAGAUAAAUACUUCAGAUAAUUACAAAUGGGGCCCAGUCAAUGUGAAAGUAAACAGCAUUGGUGCUACUGUAGAUGCCAACAGACUACCAGCAAACACAAUGUUUGCAGGACUUCUAAAACAAGGAUAAAGUGACAUAGUCCAGGACCCGAGUUAAACGGUUUAGCGGCGCUACAACACGCAGCAGGUCCGUUUGACAAGAAACACUUCUGUUACAGACACUUGUCUUACUUUGUUAAAGCGGUUUACCUGUCCAGCAGAAAGGUUACAGGGUCUGUAAAGCGUCCCCCAUGAUUGUCGACCCGGCUUCUUAGCUCUUGUCCCGUCUACCUCCGUUUUAAGCGCCCGUUAUUCCUCCAGAGUCUCCGGUAUUUAGUUCGUUUUCUUGCUUGUGUCGGCAGUCGUGGCUAAAGGAGGAUUCAGACAAUUUCCCGAACUUUCUGGUCGGUUUCUUUUGUCCGAUAUUGUAGCACGCUAACUUUGUUUGGGCUCCUGAAUGACAGGGGAGAGCAGCUUCCGUCUCACAACCAAUCAGGUCGGGGAAGCGGAUAAUGGCUUUGUUUACAGUCAGAAAGAGAUUUUAAAAUGUUGACCACACAGACAUAAAAAAACACAGUGAUAUCGUUAUAAUACCAAAUGUCAUCAAUAACUAAUAGCUAUUGACUGAUAUUAAAGCUUUUUUUUUAUAUACACCACAAAAAAAGAUGCUUCUUUUUUUUCCAGUGAUAGAUUUUCUGAAUCACUGAAUAAAAUUUUAAACGUUUUCUGCGGUGCUUGAGCAUUAAAACUGAAUAUUUAAUCAUGUUAAAUCAUCUUGAAAUUACCUUAUAAAAUCGCAGUUAUUUACCAUUGAAUGUAAAUAACUGUAAAAAUGGAAUCAGGGUAAAAGAUUGGACAAGGAUUCCCCCGAUGUACUCCAAAACCAACCCCAGGAUCAGACUUUAAAAAUACCUUUGAUAUUUUGUCAGUGCCUCCUAGCUAGACCACCUGACAUGUAUUUUUACUAUUACAUGAGUUCACAGUGAAAGCCAGAAGACAUCAGUAUUCAGGGCGGCGCGUUGAGCUGUUAUGGGACCACUGGUCAGACAUAAUGAAUGUGUUUGAGACCAGACUUCAUGUAAAGUGAAUGUGGGAAAAAAUGAAGUUCGCUUGACCUCAAUAUAUUCCCCCUCAGCUCCAGAAAAUUGCUUUUAGCUUCGGUCCUUCCACUUGAUAUCUUUUUCGCCAAUCACAAAGAUCCACCGAGUGUCCUCUGUGUCGCUGCACCGUCAGCGCUGCUGUCCUGGCUAAGAUUGUGCUUAAGAGCAUGAUGCACAUGUGCCAAGUCAGCAGCUGUCACCGAAAAAAGUGAGGGAGGCCGCAGUAUGAAAAGAAAUCUGUUCCAGCUUGACACUUUUUCAACUUGCAAGAAUGGCAAAAAAAACACGGUGGAGUGGAGUGGCAGAGGGGCCCAGUGGGUAAACAGACUCUUCUCUGCUUGAAAAUAGAGACUCGAGUUUCUGCUUUGGAAGGUGUCCACCCUCCUGAAGUGUCCUUAAGCAAGACGCCGACUCCCCAGUGUGAGUGCAAGCACGCUAACAAGCUACAAACGCCACAGCUCAUGCAGAUGGCUGCAAAGUGUGUAAAAAACAGCGCAACACAACUUGUUGACGCUGAAAAUUGUUUUUUCUUUUUUUGCACGAAAAUUGUGAAUUUAUUUUUUGUCUGUGAAAAUAAAUCAAAGUUUUUUUUUAAAUGUGGGACUGGAUACCUAAUCUCAGUGGUGAUUUUAUGAAAGCAUUUACCUUGCAGAAAAACAAAACAAAACAGUUUUAUCCAAUUUCAGUUUAUUCAUUUACUUUCAACCUUUUUCUAACAAAGUCAGUCCCAUUGUGAUUAAAAAUCUAAUUUUCAAGGUAGACCUUGCUUUAAAAUUUUGUGGUGGCAUGUGUUCAAUAAUUUUGUACUCAUAAAUACUCAGAUUUUGGUUCACAUUGGCUGUUGUUGCAAUUUUUAGGAAGAAUGUGGUUUCUAGGGUUAAAGCUCCUGUAAGGAAUUUUUUAACAUGUAUGAAAUACUCUCAAAUAUACAUUGUUGCUUUUUUAUGAUACACACACAAAAAAGACCUUCACUGACAAGAUAUACAAAUUUAUAUUGUAAUUUUGAAUGUCUAAAACUAGUGUGAGAGGGUAGGUGUCAGAAACAGCCAUGCUAUUUUUUUAUUUUUAUUUAUUUUUACAUAUUUUACAAUAAAUUAUACAUUUGAGUAUCAAAAAUCAGCAGGACAUUUUUUUUAAGAAUUACAAUUUUUUCUUUUUUUUUUUAUUUUUAUUUUAUAGUUCAGAACUUGUUCGUUAAGCAUGUAGGGACUACUUUGACCAUAGGGGGGUGCCAAAGAUACACAUUGAAAGAUCCUCACAGGAGCUUUAAUUUUUCAAGUUACGGUUGGUUAAAAAUGUUGACAGUUUGUAGUCUAUUGUGUAGAUUCAGACAGCGGUAAGCAAAACUUCUGUACUUUAUGCCUGAAUUUUGAAUUACUUCUUUAAUUAUUUAUGGAUAGGAUUUCAAAACAGUACAUACAACCAAAUUAUUAUCAAAGAGGGUCUUUAAAGUACCAUAGAGCUGAUUAGGACAGUAUGUUAAUAAAUAUACAUGAAUUACAUGAUUAAAGCUCCAGUGGGGAAGAUUUAGCUAGUAAACAAACAAGCUAAAAUGAAUACUGAUACCUCUUUAUGACCUACAUAAGCAAACAAGACCAUUCUCAGAAAUACUGAAAUUGUGGCAGGGGGUAGGUGUCAAUUAAAGUCAAAAUACACAUUUUUUUACACUCUCUGUGACUCAGUUUCUGAAUGGGAUGUGGUAAACACAUAACAAGGGCACCAAAAUCAACACAAACCAAAGUCACCCACAGGAGCUUUAAUGCAGGAUACAAAGUGGAGGAGCUACAUAGAAGAAUGAGAGUGUCUCAAAGCCUGAAAACCUGAAAAAUGUGCAAAUAUAAGAGCAGAUACUUACCUAAAUCAACCUUGUCAAACUUUAUUUAAAUACCCGGGGAAGUUGUGCUUAAUCAUCAUGAGCUCUGUGCGGAAGCUCAUUCACCUGCUGCAUUAAGAAAUCAAUCUUGUAAUGAGUCCAAGCAGUAGUAAAAUGGAUCUAAUGGCUCAGAGCUGCAGUUGGUGAUAAGAGCUUAUUGAAAAGUCACUUCUUUGAUCCAUAACACAGCCACUAUGUGUCUUUAUAAUACAAAAAAAACCUUUCUGAGUACAUUGGGGAAAUAAAAGUGAAGCUAAAGCUGACGUAAAUACAGUCUGACCAUAAGGAUUGGAAAACCCUCAAGUGCCUGAGUGCAUGUGCCAGCGGGGACACUUCCAGCAGUCUAUGAUCGUUGACAAUUUCGUAUAACACUGAGGUUUCUGGAAGAAGCCCAGCGCUCUGUUGUUUACAAGACAAGUGCUUUUUACCUGCCAAGCCACAGCAUCUGCUCCCGCUCCUCUUUUUCUCCUCCUUUUUUUUUUAAAGCGGCGACCGAAGCAGCCACGAGCUUUGAAGGACAACUAUUUCAAUCCCUUUGAUUUCAAACUUUGGUUUAUUUAUAGAGGCUUUUAUAACCCAAAUAAAGCCUCGACAUCGUGUUUUACUGGAAAAUCAAAAGGGAACACUCGAACAUGAACACAUGCAAUCUUCUUCUAUCUUGUGCCAUUAUAUUCAUGAUGUUACAUCAGCAGUUAAAAACCCCAUCAUGCUUGUAAUUGCCGCCAUAUUGUCCUCUUCUUUCCACCCCUCCCUUUAAUCAUGUUACUAAAUCAGUGGGUCACAUCAUCGAGCAUUGACAAAGCAUUUCCUCUAUAAUUGGCUGCAGUGGGCCGAAUUCAUGAUAACCCAGAGGACGGCUGACAGCAUUUCAAACAAGCUGGAGAGAAAAGGAGCCCUUCCUUCCUCCUCCUCCAGCAGCAUGUAGCAACGAGGAGGGGAUGAAGAUGAUGUAACUUCAAAUCUUAAUGAUAGAUACUGUGUGUUAUAUCACGCUACAUUAUGGCAAUAACCAGCCAGAGCCUUGAGGGGGGUGUCAGAUUUAGGGGAAGAACGAGAUUGUGUUUGUCCAAUACAACCCGGUUUGACUUAUUUUAUAACAGAGAUGGUGAAGAUUUAGUGCUUUGAAAAGCCAGUAAACACAAUAAGACAUCUGAGCUCGUAUGUGUGAGCUAGAUGUACAAAAUUGAUAUUAAAGCUCCUGUGAGGAUUUGAUUAAGUGGUAAAAAACAGGAUAAAAUUAAUAAUGAGGCUUAUUCAUGACUAUGAUUAUUUCUAUGUGGUGAUUUUUCGUUUGCUUUAAGUGCAGUAAAGAAGGUCAGGUAAUUUAAAGCACAUUGAAGAAACAGCCUUUCCUUUCUUUAUUAUACCACAUUCGUUGAGUAGCAUUUGGAGCUAUUAAAAGAAAACAUGAUUGACACACGUUCAGGACAGGAAACAUCAAGAUUUAGUGUUGUGUCGUUCGCGAACGAUUCGUUCACAAGAACCAAAUCUUUAAAGUGAACAUACUGAACCGAAUCACUUCCUCAAGAGAUUCGUUCAUUUCUCACUGAAAAAUGAUUCUAGUGAUUCAGUACAUCUAAAAGAACUGGUGUGCCCAUCGCUAUCAAGAUUGUCACAGGAGCUUUAAAGUUCCUUUUUUUGUUAAAGCUCCUGUGUCGGUUCUGGCACUCCUUUUUGUCCUCUACGCGUUUGGGUAGUGACGCUUGGCAGUCGAUAGCCAAGUGUAUUAUCUAUUGUGAAUAUUUUAUGUAUCAAAAACAGGACUAUUUCUUACACUGCUUUGCUGACACCUACCCCCUCACACGGGUGUGUUCAAGCGUUAAAUACUAGGAUAUAAAAAUCAUGAAUGUGAUCGCUGAUGGUCUUGUUUGCUUUAAGAGAUCAUGAAAAAGCUUGAAUAUUAGUUACAGUCUAUUUUUAUGAAUGUAAAAAAAAAUGCUCAUAGGAGCUUUAAUGUAAUAUUUAUUGUUUACAUUUGUAGUUUACGUGGUUGUCUUAAGAUCCCAGUUCGUUAUUAAUCUCUUUUGCCUUAAAGC